AGGAUGCAUGUUGCCAGCUCCAGUCUGUGAGCUGCUGAGAUCCAGGCUGAUACCUGGCUACCUGAGGACACCUGAGAGAGAGUGGAGCUGCAGAGAGCUGCAUAGGCUGAGGGACCUGGAGACACCCAGACUGCCAUGUCAGGAAACAGACUUGCUGAAUGGGCUGUGGGCUGAGAGAUAUUGGACCUAGAGGACACAGCUGAGGAAGACCCGAUUCAUUAAGCUCAAGAGGAUUUGAGAUUUUCAGGACCCAUUUCCCCAGGGAUGGAGACAUAUGGACUUUUCCAUAGUGCAAGGUGGAGGAAUUUGGGGAUUGUUGAUUUCUGUCCCAGGAUUUUCAUUGUGGAUCCAAUAAUGAUGCUUGACAUCCAAUAUUCAUAGAUGUUUUUAAGGCCAGAAGGGCCUUAAACUCUGACCAUCCAGUCCAGCCUCCUGCAUAAGUAGGCCAGAGAAUCCAGCCAGGGAUUCCUGCAUCCAGACCAACAACUCAUCAUUCAAAAACUUAAAAAUAUGACAUAAGAGCAUUAGCUGGGCAAUGGCCUCUGUAGCCUGUGGCUUAGAGCAUGCUUUUUAAACUCUGCCCCGUUCAAACUAGCUGGCAAAGCCAUAUUAUAACUAAAAAUGGUUAAAAACAAAACAAAUAAACAAACAAAAAACCCACUUCCUCGGUUUUGUUUCACAAUGCUUUAUCAUAUUCUGUGAACUAUUUUAAACGUUUAUCUGGUUUUCAAAAGUUUUCAAU